rnacentral:rRNA from 1 species
GAGUUUGAUCGUGGCUCAGGAUGAACGCUGGCGGCGUGCCUAACACAUGCAAGUCGAGCGGGGCUAGGCUUCGGUCUAGUCUAGCGGCGGACGGGUGAGUAACACGUAGAUAACCUGCCUUGCACACAGGGAUAACAAUGGGAAAUCAUUGCUAAUACCGGAUACGCUUACCUAUAAGCAUUUAUGGGUAAGGAAAGAUUUAUUGGUGUGAGAGGGGUCUGCGGACGAUUAGCUAGUUGGUGGGGUAACGGCCUACCAAGGCAACGAUCGAUAGCCGAUCUGAGAGGAUGGACGGCCACAUUGGGACUGAGACACGGCCCAAAUUCCUACGGGAGGCAGCAGUGGGGAAUAUUGCACAAUGGGCGGAAGCCUGAUGCAGCAACGCCGCGUGAAGGAUGACGGUUUUCGGAUUGUAAACUUCUAUCGAUGGGGAAGAAAAAAUGACGGUACCCAGCUAAGAAGCCCCGGCUAACUACGUG